AAUAAGUCUCUGGUGAAAUCCUAUAGCUUAACUGUGGGAAUUUUGCUGGAGAUACUAUUAGGCUUGAGAUCGGGAGAGGUCAGAGGUACUCCUGGGGUAGGGGUGAAAUCCUGUAAUCCUAGGAGGACCACCUGUGGCGAAGGCGUCUGACUAGAACGAAUCUGACGGUGAGGAACGAAAGCUAGGGGCGCGAACCGGAUUAGAUACCCGGGUAGUCCUAGCCGUAAACUAUGCGGACUUGGUGUGAGGGUGGCUUUGAGCCGUCCUGGUGCCGAAGGGAAGCUGUUAAGUCCGCCGCCUGGGAAGUACGGUCGCAAGACUGGAACUUAAAGGAAUUGGCGGGGGAGCACCACAACGCGUGGAGCCCUGCGGUUUAAUUGGAUUCAACGCCGGAGAUCUCACCAGCGGCGACAGCAGUAUGAUGACCAGGUUGAUGACUUUGUUUGACAAGCUGAGGGGAGGUGCAUGG
rnacentral:rRNA from 1 species